CCUGUGGGUGCCCACUGAUUUCUGGCUGAAACUUCUGAUUUCCUAAGGAAAUGGUCCCUGAUCCAGCCAGCAACAUGUUUUUCAUGAAGCAUGUAAUAUCCUGGCUGAGUUGGAAGGGAUGUUAGUUCAUCUAUCAUCUAUCAUCUCAUGGCGACAUCCAGAGAUUUUAAAAUAGGAGAAACCCCUUCAGAUUCAUGCUCUGCAGGACUGCCUGACAUCCUGGAUCUCAAUUGGAUAUUUUUAUCUUGAAUUUUUUUGGUCAAUCAUUUUUUCUGUGCACAAGCUUUGAGAGUCGAAACUGACUUUCCAGCAAAAUCAAUGGGGAAAAAAAACAAUAAAAUUCGUACUUGUUUAA